GCGUGCGUGGGAGCAUUGUUCCCUGAGCGCUCUCUGCCCAGCUCCCUCGCGCACCGCACUGAUGCCGGAGCCGGAAUAUGAUUUCAUAUUCCGGCUCUGGAAUCAGUAAGUGGAGCACAAGGGAGCUGGGCAGAGAGUGCUCAGGGGAGAAUGCUCUCUCUCGCGC